UUUUCGGACAACGGAUAUAGAGGACAGUGGCGGACGGGUGAGUAACGCGUGGGUAACCUGCCUUGUACUGGGGGACAACAGUUGGAAACGACUGCUAAUACCGCAUAAGCGCACAGGAUUGCAUGAUCUGGUGUGAAAAACUCCGGUGGUAUAAGAUGGACCCGCGUCUGAUUAGCUAGUUGGUGAGAUAACAGCCCACCAAGGCGACGAUCAGUAGCCGACCUGAGAGGGUGACCGGCCACAUUGGGACUGAGACACGGCCCAGACUCC
rnacentral:rRNA from 1 species